CUGUAGGGGAGGCCACAAUCGAAGCCAUCACACUAAUAACAUGUUUGGCUAAGCUUAAGAAUGCACUUAUGAAUUUCUCAUUAUUGGAGAACGAGAAUAGAGCCUGAAAGUCCUGGAAAAUGAGAUGUAUAUAAGACAAAAUCUAGUAGUUCAAGUUCCUAGUUAGAGUGAUUUAAGAGAUGAAUUGUGCUAUAACCUAUAAAGAUUGUCAGGUUUGUGCUAAACCAAUCUACUUUCAUUUGUAUUUUGGCUAAGGAGUUGAGCGUUUCACCUUUUCUUUCUAAAUAGAGGGUUCUCCAAUUUAAAUACUUGCUUAGACCAUGAAAUAAUAUAUUUUCACCAGUCGGAAGAGCAUAAUGUCAGAACAGAGGGAGGAAAACUCUUGUAUACUUAUGAUGAGGACAUCCAUUUUGUUUAUCUUCUAGUUGGACUCUUAUUUAUUUUUGGACUAUUAAUUAUGUGGACUUGUAUAAUGUGCUCGGCCCUUUCUCUUUAGGGUUUCCUUUUAGGAUUUUGUUUUGCUAUUUAAAUAUAGUUUUUCAUGUAAUUGAAACAGUUGAUGAAUGAAUAAAUUGUUGGGUAGCUUGUGGCAAAAUUUCUCUCCUUCUCCAUCUUUCUUCUAUUGAUUCUUUUACUGUUCUUCCUUUAAUCUCUUCUUCAUAGAUCUGUUUUUAUUCGCCAUUAAUUAUUCCAAUUGGUGCUGGAUCAACUUACCAUUUGACUAAAUGCAAAACUAAUCAAGUUUCAGGACCAGAUGUGUUUGUCUUAAAUUUUACCUCACGGAAAGGUAUAUAAAUUAACCAGUUUGAGAAUGAAGCGAGGUCAAGAUUUCUUGAGAAGUAGAUUUGGGGAACUAUCUAAAGUAUCUUAAUCCAAUAAAAGAACCUUAUAACAGCACCAAAAUAUGCUCUUCUUCACCUCUCUCUCUCUCUCUUUCAGGUUUUCUUCAAACCUGAUAUCCCCCCACACACCCUCAUCCCAUCCGACACCUAACUUAUGCCAUCUUCAUUUUGGAAACUAUCAGGUGCGGAAAAUGCAUAUCUUUUAGUAAAAAGGUACAUGGCCGUGAAUGCAUGAUUGUGGCAUCAGUGGAUUCAAGAUCGUAAUUUCUAAGUUAUUAAAGUUCAUUGUUUAUAGAAUUCUAAAAGAUGACAACCAACAGAAAAUCAUGUAAUAAGGUAUUUUAUGAGGGUGGGCAGAAAGAUGGUACGAAAAUGCAGCCCUAUCGAGUAUCGAAGGUGUAGCAAAGCCUAGACUUUUACCAGCAUUCUGGAAUUUUGAAUUUUAGAACCAGAGAAUAGGUAUUGAAGUUUUGACUCUUACCAGCUCUUUGUUUUGUCUAGUCAUGUUCUGUGCUGCAAACCAAGACGUAGAUAAGCUUCUAUGCUAAUAUUGCAUUCCCUACGACCCGGUUAACUAAGAGGAAAGGUUUUCAAUAAAUUUUUUGUUAAUACAAGGUGGAGCUUGAUUUGUAUCAUUUUAGGCGAAUAUUUUAUACUGUUUUCUAUCCAGGUUUCAAGGGAUCCAUCUUCUCGUCCUGUUUAGAUGAAGCACCGGAGUACCAUUGUGCUCUCUCUCUUCUGUCAACUGGUUCCUGGGGUUCAUGUGUGCCUGAAUCCAUUAUACCGUACAACCCUACCAAUGAAAGUAGCACGAGUAUGCAUCAGCCUGUAAUGCAUGCAAUCCCAGAAGGCUUGCCCCUCGCUUCUGCAGAAUUUUGGCAGACUGGACAGCAGCCAACUCAUCCUCGCAUUCCUGCCUUGCCCCAAAAUGGUACCUUUCAGGAAAUGCAGCUCUUCAAAGCACCACCAUACGGGGCAAAUUUUUACUCAAAUGUGCAGAACUGACCAUUCAACUUUAGGGUAUUCGGUCUUUGAGCUUUACAAAGUUUGAUAUUAAGGUCAUGCAGCAUUAUUUUGGAAGGAUUAUGAUGUUUUUGGCCUCAAUUACAGACUAAGACGGUGUGGUUAAUAUGUGAAGUGCACAUUUUGAAACGACGUAAUUGCCUAAAUGUUUUCUUGCCAUGACCACUGAUUUUGCUAUAGACAUGCUAAAGCAAAUACCACUUUAUUCUAGUCAUGGAUUCAUGUCCGCAGUACUAUUAUAUAUUCUCUGUUAUCUAUUAGGUGCUAGUAACCCUAAUUACUGAAAGUAACCUUUUUCGAAUUAUGUAAAAAGAAGAAAAUGUUUGGAAAGAGAAAUGAGAAUUCAGUGUGAAAAUUUGAGUGAAAUCUGGAAAUAGUCGAAAACAUUGCUCUUGUUUUUCUUGAA